rnacentral:tRNA from 1 species
GGGCGAGGUCUCUGGUUCAAGUCCAGGAUGGCCCAUUAUCAGGGGCGCGCUCUACCACUGAGCUAAUAGCCC